CUUUGUUUGCAUUCUGGUUGGCUGACGACAGCUUUCAGCUGCACCUGAACUAGGCUGGAUUUGUCUCCUGCUCUCCAUAGGCAGAGAAGUGCGUCCAGGCAGUUUGGAGAACUGCUGGCUCAGGCUUCACCUCCACUAAUCCAAGUUCAGUCACUUUCCUCUGAAGAACCUGCAUCAAGCCGUGGUUUUAAGCUGCAGAUGGAGUUCUUCUCGCAGGACUGAAGUGCUGAAGCUCUCUGAGCUCCGAAGGCACCCUGAACUCAUUCAAGAUGUGGCCGUUGUAUGAAGUAAGUUUGUGGUUGCUGUGAAGCUGGGAGGAAUGUUGACUGCCUUGGGGGUUGAGAGGCCUUGCAGCAAGAUGUGGAGAAAUGUGAGGGUGGUCCCCAUCUGCACGAAGAAGAGCAAGCGCUGCGUUCUGCACCUGGGAUGCGGCAGCCCUGGCUAUAAGCCCUCAGCAAACAGUCGUCCUGUUCCACUUUUGGCCAGUCUCAGAUGCUUGUCUUCCAGAAUGUCUGCGUGUGGAUGAAUCACAACAGGAUCCUGGGAACUUUUAAGAAAGGAAAGAUUGCUUCACGUGUAAUGAAAAGCUAGUGUCCAGAAGAUCACUGCGGCCAGAUGCCAAUUUUGAUGCCCUCGUCAGUAAGACUUGUCCAAGCCCUGAUGUAUGUGAAACUCAUCAGGAGGGAAUGCUGGCAAGAAUCAGCUAACACAAUAGCAGCAAGCUUCAGUGACAGCGUUAAGGAAGGGUGACGAUUCAGGCUGGGAGCAGGUGUAUGGGAACUGUAUAAUCACAGCCUGACCCUCUGUUUGACCACCUGAGGCGAGUGCUGAGUCAGCUGCAGGGGCACAGGUGAUGGCAGUUUCAGCUGAGUGACCGGAAGGGGUGGACCCUGGCUGCAGCCCUGCUAGACCCCAUGUAAGGGCUGACUCCCAAGGAGGAAGGAUCUCUCUCUGGAGGUCACCCUUAGUGGAGCCCUUCUGCGCGCCCAGGGUACGGGAAAGCAGUGCGGAGGGAACGUGUGUGGUGAGAUGCUGAGGAGAGAUUGCCUUCCUUGCCCCAGCAGGCUGCUUGUGUCCUGGUGAUGCACGGUGACGAGAAGGCUGCUGUUCUGAACAGCACAAGGCAACAGAGACGUUGACAGCAGCGAUGGUGAUGGAGAUGUUGAGAGUGGAGGAGCUCUUGGCUCGCUGCAGCCCCCCCAGAUUCCCCGGAGCUCCCUGCUGGCCCCGGAGGAGUCCGAGUGCUCUGUGCUGGAAGAAGAGGAGUCGAGGCUGCUGGAGACAUCAGGGCUCAGUGGCUCCGUGGCAGUGAUGCGCUGCAUCAGCUCUUGCGUUUGGCAGCUGUUUGCAAUGGCUUUGGUCCCCUCUCUUGUGACACCGGGCAGGUCCUGCUUGUGCUGGGGGACCUCCAGAGCACUCUCCGGAGCCGCUUCUGAAAAAGCAAGAACAUCCCCCGAACGAUGAUGGCAGCCUUCCCACAGCCACUCGGUGCAGGCAGCCACCUCUGGGGGUCACCUCUGCGGAGCACAGUCUCACCGUCAAUCCAGGUGAGCAAACGGUCCAUUUCCACAUCAUCGUUGUCAAGUCUGUGGGUGCUGGGUGUCUCUUCUGGAAAAGGCAGAAAAUGCCCAGCGGGGCAAUGGCAAUGCCGGCUUUCCCACGCCCACUCAGUGCAGACACCCCCCCAGCAGCUCUGCUGCCCCUCCGAGAGAGACUCACCGUUGUUGAUCCACGUGAGCAGGUCAUCGAUGUCUGCGUCGUCGUACAGGAUGCCUGUCUUGGACGUCACUUCUGGAAAAGGCAGAAAAUGCCCAGUGGGGCAAUGCCAGCUUUCUUUCCCACACCCAGUGUGGGUCGGUGGGUGCCAGCAACCCCCCGGAAGAAACCCCUCGCCAGCUCUGCUGCCCCCAAACUCACCGUCGUUGAGCCAUGCCAGGAGAUGCUGGAUGUCCGCCACGUCCUCCGGGAUGUCUGCGCUGGCUGUGGCUGCUGGAAAAGCAAGGACAUCCCCAG
ensembl:lncRNA